CUGAACCAGGAGCUAGAGGGGGUCUUGAAGUGGGGCCCCGGCCAGCAGCAACAGCACCACCAGGUGGCUGACCUGGGGCAUGACUUCUUCCUAGACUCCCUGAAACCAGCUUGCUGGCCACUGCACACACCCCGCUGGACUGAAACGUGGCCUGGGACUGCACGGCUGGGUCUAAGGCCGUGUCCUUCAGUCCACACACAUACAUACAGGAGUUGGUCCUAAACCAAGCUCCGGGUCUGGAAGGACUGUCCUCAGUGUCCAAUGGGAACGACAACAACAGACAGCAUUUUCCAGUCUGGAAGCCUGACCAUCAGCGGGGACAGACGGGACCAACGCCAUAGGGCGGUCAGGAAGCCCAAGUUCUUAGCGGUCCACACUGGGGCGGGAAAUCCUGCCAAGGUUUUCAACAACCAAAAAGCCACUUCCGCCCUCUCUCCCAUUACAGCUCAGGCCGCGGAAGGCAUGAGGAAUCGCCAACACAUGGCAAUAGCUCACCACAAUUUCGCAUCAAGCCAGAUUUUUACAGAAAGCAUAAUGACACUGGAACUUCUGAAACAGCCCUGGCGAAUCCCAUCCAUUUCCCUUGCUGUCCUGUCUUUCAAGUCCCCUCCAAGCAUCCCUGUUAACAAUGAAGCCACCAUCCUUCCCAGCUAUGAAGCUCAAGGCCCCGAGGCCGACGGCCAUCCUCCGCCCCCACCGGCUGAGAGCUUUGGGUUGAGCUCGCAUGUCAUGGAAGAACCUUCCCAGCGAGUUUCAGGAAGUUUAUGUGCGGAAACCCCGAUUGUCACUUUCGUUCAUUGCCCGACUGUAUAAUGGGAAACAGACAUGUCAAUAAGCACCAGGAAGAGACCUGCUUUGAAAACUUGCUCAGAUGAAGCGGCUGUUAAGCUCACACACGCUGUAAAGGCGGCUUACUAUCGGUACUGCAUGCUUAAGGCAGCUUGCGUACAACUGCAAGCUGCUGAACCCCAAUUCUGCUCCUGGUCAGUUGGGGGGACCCAGCCCUGUUUCCAUGCUCGGUCGGAAAAGCCGUAAUGAGAUGCACAUUUAGCAAAAAAAAAAGUAUAGCUAAUCGGGUUUGUUCGUGGCAUAUCCGAACCCGGGUGCUGAGAGACAAGCCUGUCACCAGGGACAUGUCACAAAAGGAAAGAAUAAAGCAGUAAUUGAUAGAAAACCUUAA